AGUGAACGCUGGCGGCGUGCUUAACACAUGCAAGUCGAACGAGAACGGAUUAUAGCUUGCUAUAAUUGUCAGCUAAGUGGCGCACGGGUGAGUAAUAUAUAGGUAAUGUGCCCUAGAGAAGAGGAUAACAGUUGGAAACGACUGCUAAGACUCUAUAUGCCUUUAAGACAGAAGUCUGCAAGGGAAAUAUUUAUAGCUCUAGGAUCAGCCUGUACAGUAUCAGUUAGUUGGUGAGGUAAUGGCUCACCAAGACAAAUGACACUUAACUGGUUUGAGAGGAUGAUCAGUCACACUGGAACUGAGACACGGUCCAGACUCCUAC
rnacentral:rRNA from 1 species